rnacentral:lncRNA from 12 species
AUCUGCUUUUGCAGUUGUUGGGAGAUACAGAAACAGGAAGCCAAAUAGUCUAAGGGAGUUUUGUUUCGUUUCCUGGGAGAAGAACUACCUAGAAACUGGUCCUUUUUACCACCCAGUUUACAGAGUUUCCUGAGAUUAGUAAUAUCUUGCGUUUGAAUGAUGCUUCAAAAUUUUUUCUUAAAGGUCUGUGUUAUAUUUUGGCUCAUUUUAACACCUAUUUUAUAAUAAAACUAAAGCUCAGAGAGGCAAAAACUUGCCCAAUUGUUACAUUCAGUAAAUGUGACCUCAUAUUUGGGUAUCUAGGCUUUCCAAUUCCACAAGCUGUCUUCACAGACAGAAGACAAAGGACUACCCCACCGAGAGGAGGAAAGACAAGCAACUGGGGACACAGAGGUUGGCAAGCACCCCUGAGCCUAAGGAGUCCUAUAACAGGGCAAACAAUGAACAAUAACCAGAGGCAGGUGCUCCACCCUACUUCCUCCCCUAUUCCAAUGACCCAGGUAAGAGAAUUGGAUAGAAAGAACUGAGAAUCACCAAGGUCAAAUUUUCCACUAGUUUGGAAGAUAACAGCUUGGUGUAAAAAAUAAGCAUAAUUAUAGAAAACAAUAAAUACAUUUCUUGUACGUAUAAGUUUGUAAAA